UACGUAGGGAGCAAGCGUUGUCCGGAUUUACUGGGUGUAAAGGGUGCGUAGGCGGCUUAGCAAGUCAGAAGUGAAAUCCAUGGGCUUAACCCAUGAACUGCUUUUGAAACUGCUAAGCUUGAGUGGAGUAGAGGUAGGCGGAAUUCCAGGUGUAGGAGUGAAAUCCGUAGAUAUCUGGAGGAACAUCAGUGGCGAAGGCGGCCACCUGGACCGGUAUUGACGCUGAGGCGCGAAAGCGUGGGGAGCAAACAGG
rnacentral:rRNA from 1 species